AUUGAACGCUGGCGGCAGGACUAACACAUGCAAGUCGAGCGGAUGAAGGGAGCUUGCUCCUGGAUUCAGCGGCGGACGGGUGAGUAAUGCCUAGGAAUCUGCCUGGUAGUGGGGGAUAACGUCCGGAAACGGGCGCUAAUACCGCAUACGUCCUGAGGGAGAAAGUGGGGGAUCUUCGGACCUCACGCUAUCAGAUGAGCCUAGGUCUGAUUAGCUAGUUGGUGGGGUAAAGGCCUACCAAGGCGACGAUCCGUAACUGGUCUGAGAGGAUGAUCAGUCACACUGGAACUGAGACACGGUCCAGACUCCUACGGGAGGCAGCAGUGGGGAAUAUUGGACAAAGGGCGAAAGCCUGAUCCAGCCAUGCCGCGUGUGUGAAGAAGGUCUUCGGAUUGUAAAGCACUUUAAGUUGGGAGGAAGGGCAGUAAGUUAAUACCUUGCUGUUUUGACGUUACCAACAGAAUAAGCACCGGCUAACUUCGUG
rnacentral:rRNA from 1 species